rnacentral:rRNA from 1 species
GAUGAACGCUAGCGAUAGGCUUAACACAUGCAAGUCGAGGGGCAGCAUGGUCUUAGCUUGCUAAGACUGAUGGCGACCGGCGCACGGGUGCGUAACGCGUAUGCAACUUGCCUCACAGAGGGGGAUAACCCGUCGAAAGACGGACUAAUACCGCGUACACUUGGGAUAGGGCAUCCUGACCCAAGGAAAUGAAAUUCGCUGUGAGAUAGGCAUGCGUCCCAUUAGCUAGUUGGUGAGGUAACGGCUCACCAAGGCGACGAUGGGUAGGGGAACUGAGAGGUUGAACCCCCACACUGGUACUGAGACACGGACCAGACUCCUACGGGAGGCAGCAGUGAGGAAUAUUGGUCAAUGGGCGAGAGCCUGAACCAGCCAAGUCGCGUGAAGGAUGACUGUCUUAUGGAUUGUAAACUUCUUUUAUACGGCAAUAACAAGAGCCACGUGUGGCUCCCUGCAUGUACCGUAUGAAUAAGCAUCGGCUAACUCCGUG